rnacentral:lncRNA from 1 species
AAAACCAAUAAUAUAGUUCUUGUUUUGAAUAGGGUUCGAGAUCCAUUUAUUUUUUUAUCUGUCUUUCAGUGUGCAUCAAUACAGUGGGUGCCCAAACAUAGGGAUAAUUUGGUAAGGAAAUUAACUGAAUUACGCAGAUACCUAUGCAUGUGCAUGCAUGCAUUUGUGAGGGCAUGCACAUGUGUUCACAUAUGUGUGAGUGCUCACAAAGACAGACAGAGACAGACACACACACACACACACACACACACACACACACACAGAGAGAGAGAGAGAGAGAGAGAGAGAGAGAGAGAGAGACUGUGCGUUCUUCCAUAUGUGAAAAAAGGUAUUAAAAAUGUGGGUAUUGUUAAAAUCACUGAUGAGGAAUGAGUUUUGACAGUUAGAUCCAGAUUUCAGCUCUGUGUCCUUUCCUUGGUCCCUGCACUGCCUAAAAUCCUAUUUGCCUAAUACAUACUGUAGGUAUCAUUCAUGAGAAGCCUUUGGUCUGUCUUUAUUUAAAUCUUGAGUUAUAAGGCUUGGGCUAUUAACAAUUACUUGUGAUUCACACAUGCUGGACAAUCUGGAAAGUAAGAUGCAUGCUCGUUUUGUUUUUUAGUUUGUAAUUGGAAAGGAUGAAGUGCAUUAUCAGCUCUAGCUUGUCCGUUGGAAUCAAUUGUUAUCAUGAUUACACUCCCAGUCUAUUUGAGAAGGAUAAAACAUUCUAAUGACUUUGAGCGCUCAGGCAAAACUAGAUUUUUAUUUCGAGAACAUCUCCACAAUGGCUCUGGAGAAUAGUUUUAUAUUUUUCUCAACCAAUACCACGUUAUUUGUGAUAAAAAUUGAGAAAGCAUAUUGUUUUGUUAGGUGCCUUUCCAAACUUUCUGCAGCUAUUAAAAAGAGUGUGUCUAAAGCUCAGUGGAUUCACCUUCACUGUCGUUCGGAACAGGGAGAACUAUUUUGGCACGAUCCUUGAGUGUGAAAUGCCCCCAGGAAAGUCCAGUUCCUGGAAGUGCUGUUAUUUUCCAGAAUAUUCUUCUACAGUCACUUUCUGAGGUGCUAUAUAAAGGAAAUUGGAAAACAUGAAUGAUCUAUAUUAAUAAUCCUGACUGUGGUCAUUGGUUUGGUGGAUAAAGUAUUUGCUGUUCUUUCACAUCCUAGAACCCAGAUGGAGGCCAAGUUGCCAUGGAAGCAUGCUUGUAAUCUAGUACUGCCUGGAAACUCAGUCAUAGGAGGUAAUACUAGGCAACCCUUGGGACAAGAAGGUGAGCUAGGCUAGCUGGAGCUGUGAGCUUCUAGUUAAGUGAGAGACUCUGCCUCGAUAUACACACUGUAGAGACAUCUCAUUUCAAUUUCAGGGCUCCAUGUGCGCUUGUGCAUAUGCACACUACACGAAUAUCAAGCAAUGCACAAUGCAUACAUAAUCCUGUGAAGAUAUGAAAUAUUAUGAAGUAUGGUACAUCAGGCUUUUUAAAAUAUAUACUUAUUCGAUAUAAGUUAACUAUGCGAGGUAUCAAAUAUAGACUUGUCCGAAUACACAUAUGCAAGACUACUUUAUGGUUUUAUUUUUAACAACUAUUUAAAUAUAGACUAAAAAGGAAGACAAAAAGUAGCUGUGAACAUAUGCUAGGCUUCAAGGGUGUAAGAAAACCUGCACGGUCAAUUUCUAGAAGAUUGUCCCUGAAUUUGAGAAAUAACAACUCAAACUCACUACGGGCCUGUAGUUCUCUGUUGACAAUUUCUUCCCACUGAUGUCAUUCUAGCCUUGGUUGAUUACUUCUCACAAACAGAUUAUAUCGCUGCUACCAAUUUUUGUCAGCAUGCUUGUGUAUAUCUUAGUAUUUCCAUGACUUUCCUUUUAAUAUUUGGUGUUUACUAUGUGCCACUCACUGUUCUCAGUACAACUCAUAUUGUAGUGAACUGUGUAAUCUUUUGACUCUGCCCAGGGACUACGAAGACUUUAUUAUCUGUUAAAGUAAUAAGGUAGCAGGACACUUAACUGACAGCAGCUCCUUUUUGCACAGACUUCACGAUGUGUUCAGUGUGAGCCAAUAUUCAUUUACUCAACAUACAAUCAUUGAGCAUCCUUGCUAAGUCUUGUGCUUUCUGAAUACUGGAAAUGGAAUUAAAUGAGCAAAACAGUCUUUGCUCUUGGACACGGUGAGGUGGAAAAGCUGCAGAGCUGCACAUUUAAUUUACACUUGCUGCUUCAGAGCAUUUCCAGAGACAUAUUCUUCUGUUGUGCGGAUCAUAAUAUUUGGAGGUUUGUCAGCACUGUCAAAAGCAGAUUCAUUUUAAUGUGUUUGUGUGUUUCCAUAGAGGCAAGGGAUAGCACUCGCUGGGAGACAGUAGACACAUGUAUUUAGUAAAUCAAUCAGUCAGUGAGCAUGUGCGUUUCAGGUGACAUGGCAUUAGUGUUCUCAAGAUUGCCAUGGAGUUUAUAUAGUAUAUAAUAAUUCUGGUUUCCUGAAACCAGACACAACCAGAUAUGAACACAGAUUCUACAAUUCUAACUAGCUGAAGGAACUCUUUUGAGUGAGAUAAUUAGUACGUUGCCUAGUAGGGAUAAGUUUAAAAUUAUUCUGUCAGACAGGCAUAGUGUCAUGAUUCCAAUAAUUCUAGACUGGGGCAGAAGAAUCAAAAAGUUGAGACCACAUUGGGUCACACAGUGAGACUUUGUCAUUUAAUUAAUUUUUCUUAAUUUUAGAAACAGAGAUGUUAUUUUAAGUGACUAUAUUUUAAUUGUAGAUAAAAUGGAAAAAGAAGUUGAGUUUUAUAAAGCCUUUGUCUAUAGUUUUGAAUUUUAAUAAAUUCCUAGAAUUUCUCAAGUCAGUGUGGUUAUAAAGCCAUUACUCAUAACCUUUGCCAAAAAUUGGGAAUAGGAGGAAUGCCAAGAGAAACAUAGCAGCCUUUAUAUUUUAGUAUAUAUUUUGUUGGAGAGGCAUCUACUCUGAAAAGUGUAGACAGGCAACUUUAGUGCCAGUCCCUUGCAAGAAACCCAAAUGCAUUAUUUAAAACUUCCAAAGGAGAGGAGAUGAGUCACCAAGAAUAAAUCAACAGCAUGCUGAGCUCACAGAAAUUUGACAGACCUCAGGCUAAUAGAUCCAGGACUUCUACAAAAUCACCUGGAGACCAUUUCCAAGGCACCUUUACAAUACUCCUUUCAGACCUCAUUUAGGACUCUAACAAGUUACAUAUUCCAUGUCCCCACAUCUAUCCCCAGGUGAACACACAUGCGUGAGUCACUAUGAGGUCCAACCUGCCUGCCCUGAGUUUAGAAAGCAAAGCACUGGUCCAAUUCCAGGCCAGAAUGAAACCAUGUUUUCACUAGCACCUUCAGAGAAUCAGGCCUUUAUGUCCUGGAUAACAUUUCAGCUUGUGCUAUCUUCCAACUCAUCUAGGUUAAAGCUUAGCAUCUAGAGGUAAUC